rnacentral:rRNA from 1 species
CCUACGGGAGGCAGCAGUGGGGAAUAUUGCGCAAUGGGCGAAAGCCUGACGCAGCGACGCCGCGUGAGGGAUGAAGGUCUUCGGAUCGUAAACCUCUGUCAGCAGGGAAGAACGGUCACUGUGCUAAUCAGCAGUGAAUUGACGGUACCUGCAAAGGAAGCACCGGCUAACUCCGUGCCAGCAGCCGCGGUAAUACGGAGGGUGCGAGCGUUAAUCGGAAUUACUGGGCGUAAAGCGCGCGUAGGCGGUAUGUCAAGUCAAGGGUGAAAUCCCCGCGCUCAACGUGGGAACUGCCUUUGAAACUGGCGAACUUGAGUGUGUUAGAGGGUAGUGGAAUUCCAGGUGUAGGAGUGAAAUCCGUAGAUAUCUGGAGGAACAUCAGUGGCGAAGGCGACUAUCUGGCACAUAACUGACGCUGAGGAGCGAAAGCGUGGGUAGCAAACAGGAUUAGAUACCCGGGUAGUC